rnacentral:snRNA from 1 species
AGCUUUGCAUAGUGGCAGUAUUGCAGCCAAUGAAGUUUAUCUGAGGCAUCAUUAUAGGAAACUGAAAACUUCCUAAUUCCGCAAUACUUUGUUUAUAUUUCUUUUAUUGUAACAUUUGAUUCAUAAAUUUAA